rnacentral:rRNA from 1 species
GCUGUGGUUAAAAGCUCGUAGUUGAACCUUGGGCCUGGCUGGCCGGUCCGCCUCACCGCGUGCACUGGUCCGGCCGGGCCUUUCCCUCUGUGGAACCUCAUGCUCUUCACUGGGCGUGACGGGGAAACAGGACUUUUACUUUGAAAAAAUUAGAGUGCUCAAGGCAGGCCUAUGCUCGAAUACAUUAGCAUGGAAUAAUGAAAUAGGACGUGUGGUUCUAUUUUGUUGGUUUCUAGGACCGCCGUAAUGAUUAAUAGGGACAGUCGGGGGCAUCAGUAUUCAAUUGUCAGAGGUGAAAUUCUUGGAUUUAUUGAAGACUAACUACUGCGAAAGCAUUUGCCAAGGAUGUUUUCAUUAAUCAGGAACGAAAGUUAGGGGAUCGAAGACGAUCAGAUACCGUCGUAGUCUUAACCAUAAACUAUGCCGACUAGGGAUCGGACGAUGUUAUUUUUUGACUCGUUCGGCACCUUACGAGAAAUCAAAGUGCUUGGGCUCCAGGGGGAGUAUGGUCGCAAGGCUGAAACUUAAAGAAAUUGACGGAAGGGCACCACCAGGGGUGGAGCCUGCGGCUUAAUUUGACUCAACACGGGGAAACUCACCAGGUCCAGACACAGUGAGGAUUGACAGAUUGAGAGCUCUUUCUUGAUUCUGUGGGGUGGUGGUGCAUGGCCGUUCUUAGUUGGUGGAGUCAUCUGUCUGCUCAAUUGCGAUAACGAACGAGACCUUCACGUACUAACUAGCCCGUAUUGCUUUGGCAGUACGCUGGCUUCUUAGACGGACUAUCGGCUCAAGCCGAUGGAAGUUGGAGGCAAUAACAGGUCUGUGAUGCCCUUAGAUGUCUGGGCGCACGCGCGCUACACUGAC